rnacentral:lncRNA from 1 species
GGAUGGCAGUUUGGGAGUUAGCAUGUCAGAAGAAGGUAUGGGAGAGUCCCAAGGAGGCACUCAGGCCUCGGGAUUUGUUCAGCCACCCCACUACCCACACUUCUCACAACAUCCCGGGUAUUCGAUGGGAGGUACAUCGGAUUACCCUAGCUUCACCCCUUAUCCCACACAGAUGCCAUACCCACCAUACUACCCACCAUAUUCACAAUACCCAAUGUAUCCACCCCCACCUUACUAUCCAAAUCCAGC